rnacentral:lncRNA from 1 species
GGCUGGUCCACGUCACAUUUUCAAUAACACGUUUUAAAAGACAGAUUUGUUUUAAUAGAUUGGAGGAAGAUUCUCUGGCUUGUCAGUGUCGAAUCUAAAAAUAGCUGCUGCUGAGAAAAAGUGAAGAAGAGAAGGACAGCAAGAGGAGAAAGAAGAAUCCUUUCUACUUUGGGCACUUCAAUUACAUAUUCUAACCCUCACAAUAGCCUGAUUUCUAUUUUACCGAUGAGAAAAUGCGGUGUAGACAGCUAAGGCGGACACCAGACACAGCUGGAGGUGGAGAUGAAGGACCAUGCUAAA